rnacentral:rRNA from 1 species
GACGAACGCUGGCGGCGUGCUUAACACAUGCAAGUCGAACGGUAAGGCCCUUCGGGGUACACGAGUGGCGAACGGGUGAGUAACACGUGGGUGAUCUGCCCUGCAUCUCGGGAUAAGACUGGGAAACUGGGUCUAAUACCGGAUAGGACCACGGCCUGCAUGGGUGGUGGGGGCAAGCUUUUGCGGGGUGGGAUGGGGCCGAGGCCUAUCAGCGUGUUGGUGGGGUGAUGGCCUAGUAAGGCGACGACGGGGAGCCGGCAUGAGAGGGUGACCGGCCAAACUAGGACGGAGAUACGGCCCAGAAUCCUACGGGAGGCAGCAGUGGGGAGUAUUGCGCAACGGUCGCAAGCCUGUUGCAGCGACGCCGCGUGAGGAAUGCCGGCCUUCGGGUUGUAGACCUCUUUCAGCACCGACGAAGCGCGAGUGACGGUAGGUGCAGAAGAAGGACCGGCCAACUACGUGCCAGCAGCCGCGGUAA